rnacentral:lncRNA from 1 species
GGCCUUGUGCAGGGGCUGGGAUGACGGCAGAGGAGAGACAAGUGCUAAUGUUGGGAAAGACGCUGCAUGGUUGUCUUUGGUUUGCAAGACUGUAAGAACUAUAACAGAAGCCGAGCCCCCCAGAUCCCGGUGAGCUGAGCCCUUGCUGCAUGGCAGCCCCAGGCUGCUCGGUACAGCUUCCGAGCCAGGGCCUCAAGAGGCCACAUCAUGUCUGCUCUGGCCCCCUUGCCGUGUGAAGAAGCCCAGUCAAACCUUCUGGAGGGUGAAAAGCCCCACAGAGCAGAGACGGGCCAUCCUGCCCAUGCAUGACAGCCAGCACCAAACCCGACACGUGGGUGAGGUCACCUCAGCAGAACCAGUCCCAGCCAAGAGGCCGGAGGAGUGCAACCACAUCAGCGAUUCCAGGUGAGAGCAGCAGAACCGCUCAGAAUUUGAGAGCAGCCCAAACUGCUGACCCGCAGAAUUAAGACAAAGUAAAACCGCUGUUGUUUUACGCUGCUAAGGUGUCGGGUGAGCUGUCACGUGGCAAUAGAUAAGUGACACACCAAGCUAAAAUCAUACCUGCUAUCAAGGCCAUAUUUGUUGACAGUUUGGGGACUCCCGUAGCCACCUGCAAACCCUCCUUGCUGAGUCAGACAAACUUAGCAGCUAAAGAGUGGCACGUGCUUUGGAUAAUGGUGCAUCUGUUUUCCCCAGGGGCUGGAUGACCUCAGGGCCAUAACUGGGUCUCCUGCAUCUGAUCCUCCUGUACGUUGUGCUGAGCCAGGCUCUGACAUACAGCAGGCGCUUCACACGCAUUUGCUCAAUUAGUGAAACGCCGGGUUGGGACGGGUCUAGGUUACCAGCAUCUCCUGCUCAGGUUACUGCAGCAUCUCCUAGCUGGUCUCCCUGCGGCCAGGCUUGCUCCCUCAAAUCCGUCUUCCAUCCUCCAAAGAAAAUAUUCCAAAGGGCAAGUCUACCCUGAUUUGAUCCCGGGUCAAGAUUUUUUUUCCCCAGCUGUGCUGGCUGCAUGCAGAAAUUCCCAGGCCAGGGGUCAAAGCCCUGCCAUAGCAGCAACCAGAGCUACGGCAGUGACUUCACCAGAUCCCCAACCCACUGAGCCACCAGGGAACUCCUAAAUCUUGGACUGACUCCCCAUUGUCCUCACUGGUAAGCCCUGCCUCUUUGGAAAGAUUCGUGGAUCUCAUAAACCUUGACUCCUGCCUCUUUCUAAAGCCCCAUCUUACAGCAGUCGCUCCUUUGCUCUCUGGGCCCAGCCAGGGGUCCCUUGUUUCUCCAUGCAUCUACCACACUUUCUGCUCACAGCAAUGCUGGAUCCUUAACCCACUGAGUGAGGCCAGGGAUCGAACCCGUGUCCUCGUGGAUACUAAUCAGAUUCAUUUCCGCUGAGACACAAUGGGAACGCCGCAUCCUCAUUGACAGCCGGCAUUUAAGGCGCCAGGAAUCAAAGGAAGGUAGGUGGCGUGGCAUCUCCCUAGCCGCCAGUAUUAGUUCACUGUGGUUGCCACAACAAAUUGCUACAUACUUGGUGACUGAACAGAAUUUAUUCUCCUAGAGUUCUGGAGGCCAGGAGUUCCGCAUCAGCCUCACUGAGCCUAAAUCGAGGUACCAGCAGGGCUGCACUCCUCCUAAAACUCUAGGGAGGAACCUGUGCCGUGACUCCUCCAGCUGGGUGGCCGUUGGUGUUCCUUCGGCCCCAUUACUCCAACCUCUGCUUCUGUCUUCACUGUUCCUCCUCCUCUUCCGUGUGUGAGCUCUCCUCCUGCCUGUUUCUUAAAGGGACACUGGCAAUGGGGUUUAGGGCCCCGGUCGCCCAGGAGAAUCUCCCCAUGUCAAGGUCAUUCACCUAAUCACGUCUGCAAAAAUCCUUUUUCCUUUUAAGGUGACAUUUUCCAAAUUCCAGAGAUGCGGACCUGGCGUCUUUGGCUGGUCAUGACUCAGGCUACCGCACCCACUCAGGAAAAUUUCGCUUCACGUCCCUGCAGCGCUGGCCUCUGCUGGUGUGGAGACCUGAGUUCUCAGGGGAAGGAAAGCCACACAGUUUUCAUCGCCUUUGAAGCUAAAACCUCCACUCGGCUGUUUGGGCUUCUCGUGCCCCUCAGACCACAGGCAACGAAAGAGGAGAGGUAGUGGCUGCCUGACUGGGAGGCCUCUACAGCCAAGAGCAGGGAGGGCUACGUCUGGGACCUGGGGGAUCCUCAAGGGUCCCCUUUCCCAUGCACACAAGUUAACAAAAAGCCACGACACCCGACCGGGCAGGACCACUGAUGCUCCAGGAACGAUUAGUGGAGUCACUCUACCACGCAGCAAACUGCAACUAGCUGAGGUCCUAUCUGUGGGCAAAGGGACACAGGACGGUGGGGAGAAGGGACACACACACACACACACACACACACACACACACACACAUAUGUAGCCACUCAAUUAGUGACAUACGUAUAAUAUGCAAAGAAAAACAUUCCUCAAUUGAAUGUAUCUAUCCGGGAAUCGCUACCAUCUAUCUAUCAACUGUGGCAUUGUGGGAGUUCUCACUGUGGCGCAUUGGGGUCAGUGGCAUCUUGGGAGCCCUGGGAAGCAGGGUCAAUCCCUGGUCUGCACAGUGGGUUAGGGAUCCAGUGCCGACGCAGCCGCAGCUUAGAUUGCUCCUGUGGCUCAGAUACGAUCCCUGGCCCGGAAAUUCCAUAUGCCACGAGGCGGCCAAAAAAAAAAAAAGAAAAA